GCCAGGCGUGGUGGCGUAUGCCUGUAAUCCUAGCUACUCGGGAGGCUGAGGCAGGAGAAUUACUUGAACCCAGGAGGCACAGGUUGCAGUGAGUGGAGGUCACGCCACUGCACUCCAGCCUGGGUGAAAGAGUGAGAUUCCGUCUCAA
ensembl:misc_RNA Metazoa_SRP Metazoan signal recognition particle RNA